rnacentral:rRNA from 1 species
UACCAGCUCUCCGAGUGGUAGGGAUGAUUAUUGGGCUUAAAGCGUCCGUAGCCGGCUUAGCAAGUCUCCUGUUAAAUCCACCGAUUUAAUCGUUGGAGUGCGGGGGAUACUGUUCGGCUAGGGGACGGGAGAGGCAGACGGUAUUUUCGGGGUAGGGGUGAAAUCCUAUAAUCCCGGGAAGACCACCAGUGGCGAAGGCUGUCUGCUAGAACGCGCCCGACGGUGAGGGAUGAAAGCUGGGGGAGCGAACCGGAUUAGAUACCCGGGUAGUCCCAGCUGUAAACGAUGCAGGCUAGGUGUUUGGGCGGCCACGUGCCGCUCUAGUGCCGCAGGUAAGCCGUUAAGCCUGCCGCCUGGGGAGUACGGCCGCAAGGCUGAAACUUAAAGGAAUAGGCGGGGGAGCACCACAAGGGGUGAAGCUUGCGGUUU